ncrna:unclassified sequences manA RNA
AGUAAGGACGCUUACGUCGGGUGUGACUGAAUAAACUUACUGGCAUAUAGCUGGUUAAGGUGAUGAGACACAGGUGGUGCUGCUGUCCGCAGGGGCAGAACCGAUGACCAAUCGGGUCUCAGGCAGAGGAGUAAUUCUAAACUGUAGAAAUGCCCUUCUCUUGUUGGUAUACAGGAAUCCAACCACCCUCUUU